rnacentral:rRNA from 1 species
GACGACCGCUGGCGGCGUGCUUAACACCUGCAAGUCGAGCGGAGCGGCGAACGGGUGAGUAACGCGUGAGUAACUGCCCCCCUCUCUGGGAUAACCGUUGGACACGGCUGCUAAUACCGGAUAGUUGUGGAUGACUCGCGGCCUAUCAGCUUGUUGGUGGGGUAGUGGCCGACCAAGGCGACGACGGGUAGCCGGCCUGAGAGGGCGCCCGGCCACAUUGGGCUGAGAUAGGGCCCAAACUCCAACGGGGGGCAGCAGGGGGGAAUAGUGAACAAUGGGGGAAACCCUGAUGCAGCAACGCCGCGGGCUGGAUGACGGUCUUCGGGUUGUAAACCGCUUUCAGCCAUGACGCGGUAGUCGCAGAAGAAGCACCGGCUAACUACGUGCCAGCCGCCGCGGUAAUAC